rnacentral:rRNA from 1 species
GAAUGGAUUAAGAGCUUGCUCUUAUGAAGUUAGCGGCGCGACGGGUGAGUAACACGUGGGUAACCUGCCCAUAAGACUGGGAUAACUCCGGGAAACCGGGGCUAAUACCGGAUAACAUUUUGAACCGCAUGGUUCGAAAUUGAAAGGCGGCUUCGGCUGUCACUUAUGGAUGGACCCGCGUCGCAUUAGCUAGUUGGUGAGGUAACGGCUCACCAAGGCAACGAUGCGUAGCCGACCUGAGAGGGUGAUCGGCCACACUGGGACUGAGACACGGCCCAGACUCCUACGGGAGGCAGCAGUAGGGAAUCUUCCGCAAUGGACGAAAGUCUGACGGAGCAACGCCGCGUGAGUGAUGAAGGCUUUCGGGUCGUAAAACUCUGUUGUUAGGGAAGAACAAGUGCUAGUUGAAUAAGCUGGCACCUUGACGGUACCUAACCAGAAAGCCACGGCUAACUACGUGCCAGCAGCCGCGGUAAUACGUAGGUGGCAAGCGUUAUCCGGAAUUAUUGGGCGUAAAGCGCGCGCAGGUGGUUUCUUAAGUCUGAUGUGAAAGCCCACGGCUCAACCGUGGAGGGUCAUUGGAAACUGGGAGACUUGAGUGCAGAAGAGGAAAGUGGA